rnacentral:rRNA from 1 species
UACGGAGGAUGCAAGCGUUAUCCGGAUUUAUUGGGUUUAAAGGGUGCGCAGGUUGUUUGAUAAGUCAGCGGUGAAAGUCUGUCGCUUAACGGUAGGAUUGCCAUUGAUACUGUUAGACUUGAAUAUGGAUGAGGUAGGCGGAAUGUGUAGUGUAGCGGUGAAAUGCAUAGAUAUUACACAGAACACCGAUUGCGAAGGCAGCUUACUAAUCCAUCAUUGACGCUGAGGCACGAAAGCGUGGGGAUCAAACA